CGUUUAUACAUUUAUUUGGCAUAACAAAGUAUGAAAAUGCAUAUGUUGACAAAAGAAUAUAAUCAUGAUACAAUAAUUCUAAUUAAGAAUAUAAAAUGAUUAAUGACAAUAAAAUUUAAAAUAAUUAAAUCAUAAUUAGUCUAUAUUUAGAAACAGCAUUUCACAAGAAUCUUUGUCA